rnacentral:rRNA from 1 species
AUUAGGCAUGCAAGUCGAGCGCGAUACCCUAGUUUGAAGCUUCGGCCGAUUUCUAGGGUGGAAAGCGGCGAAAGGGAGAGUAAUGCGUAGUUACGUACCCCGAGGACCGGAAUAGCUGUGGGAAACUGCAGGUAAUGCCGGAUAAUAUCUCUGGAUCAAAUGGUGUGAUUCCGCCUUGGGAGCGGACUACGUUGUACUAGCUUGUUGGUGGGGUAAUGGCCUACCAAGGCGACGAUGCAUACCGGGCGUGAGAGCGUGGCCCGGCUCACUGGGACUGAGACACUGCCCAGACACCUACGGGUGGCUGCAGUCGAGAAUCUUCGGCAAUGGGCGAAAGCCUGACCGAGCGAUGCCGCGUGUGGGAUGAAGGCCUUCGGGUUGUAAACCACUGUCAGUUGGGAGGAAAUCUCAUGGGGCUAUCCCCAUGAGUUGACCUAUCUUCAGAGGAAGGACGGGCUAAGUUCGUGCCAGCAGCCGCGGUAAUACGAACCGUCCAAACGUUAUUCGGAUUUACUGGGCUUAAAGGGUGCGUAGGCGGCACGGUCAGUGGGGUGUGAAAUCCCUCGGCUCAACCGAGGAACUGCGCCCCAUACUGCCGCGCUUGAGGGAGACAGAGGUAAGCGGAACUGAUGGUGGAGCGGUGAAAUGCGUUGAUAUCAUCAGGAACACCGGUGGCGAAGGCGGCUUACUGGGUCUCUUCUGACGCUGAGGCACGAAAGCUAGGGGAGCGAAGGGGAUUAGAUACCCCCGUAG